UGGUAAUAGGCCUACUACAUAAUGUAUAAUGCAUUCUGAAACUAGAUCUUUUGUAUUCCCUCAUAACAGAUACAUAAAUGAUAUUUUACUGUAAAUUGAUAAGAAGAUUAUUUUUUUAGGUUUAUUAGAUUUAUCUGCCGGUGGAUCCUUCUUUCGUUUACGUAAACUUGUAGUUAUUGCUCUGCAUUUGGGUAGAAAACAGUGUAUUUAGUAAAUUAAUUGUAAAUCGUCGUCUGCAUCUGCUUUGUCAUCAUCUGGGCUUCCUCAAGGUUUUGUUCUUGGUCCGAGUUUUGAUACUCUUUAUUCGUCACCAUUAGGCGAUAAGAAAUUAGGGUGGUUUCGGUCGGGAAAACUUGUCGAGGUAAAAGUGCAUUAGGAAACAGUUUACUGCGGUCUAAAAACUUUUUUCAGUCAUCAUCGUCAGGGGGAUCGAUUACAUCCAAGUGUAGCAUCGGUCAUCUGGAUAUGCAUAAUGGCAAGAGGUUGGUUGUAGUUGACACGCCGGGUUUAUUCGAUACUCGGGUUACCAACACAGAAAUAUCAAAAGAAUUGGUUCGCUGCGUUACUCUUGCAUGCCCUGGGCCACACGCCUUCUUGUUUGUUCUGAGUAUUGAUAGAUUUACCAAAGAAGAACUGGAUACGGUUGAACAUCUACAAAAAUUGUUUGGAGAAGAUGUAAUGAAGUUCGUCAUCGUCGUCUUUAACCAUAAAGACACGUUAGAGUAUGAGGAGAAAACCCUUGAAGAGCACAUACAAUCAUCACCACCAGAGCUACAAAGACUAAUCUACAGAUGUGGCGGCCGAAUGACUACGAUUAAAAACCGUAUUCUACCUGGAUCGAAUGAGCGCGAUGUAAAUGCAAUCAUACGUUUGGUAGAACAGACCAUGCGUUCUAAUGGAGGUAAAUGCUACACCAAAAAGGCGUUUGAAGCAGUUGAUGAGGUUUUCCAAAAUAGAGUAGAAGAAUUGAAAGCCGAAUUGGUCAAACUAGAAAAACGACUAAUGGAGUAUGAAAUUAGAGAGAAGGUUCGAAAGGAGAUCGAAGAACAGGGUGGUAUUCUAACAAGAUUAGCUAUAGGGAUCUUUCGUUAUGGGCGGUGAAUUGUAUGAAACGCAUGUAUAACUUCAUAUUUGUAAUAAAUAGUGUAGAUAUUUCAUAUUUGUAAUAAAUGAUCUGUGAACUUAC